rnacentral:misc_RNA from 1 species
GAUGAAGAACGUAGCGAAAUGCGAUAAGUAAUGUGAAUUGCAGAAUUCAGUGAAUCAUCGAAUCUUUGAACGCACAUUGCGCCCCUUGGUAUUCCGGGGGGCAUGCCUGUUCGAGCGUCAUUACAACCCUCAAGCUCUGCUUGGUCUUGGGCGUCACCGGUCCCCGGUGUGCCUUAAAAUCAGUGGCGGCGCCAUCUGGCUCUAAGCGUAGCACAUACUCUCGCUACAGACGUCCGGUGGAUGCUGGCCAGCAACCCCCAAUUUAUCAAGGUUGACCUCGGAUCAGGUAGGGAUACCCGCUGAACUUAAGCAUAUCAAUAAGCGGAGGA